rnacentral:misc_RNA from 1 species
CACGGCGGCGGCGGCGGCACGACAGCGCACCUGCGACAUGUCGCCGAGGGUUGCGGCUGGGCUGCCGCGACCAAUCGGUUCCUCGGCACCAGCGCCGCAGCGGUCGGAGCCCUGCU